CCGUUCCUGGAUUUGAACCCAGGACAUCUGGCAUGCGAGGCGAGCGUGUUACCACUACUCCGCUAACG
rnacentral:tRNA from 11 species